UAGUCCACGCUGUCAACGAUGAGAACUAGACGUUGGAGGGGCGACCCUUUAGUGUCGAAGCUAACGCGUUAAGUUCUCCGCCUGGGGAGUACGGCCGCAAGGCUAAAACUCAAAGGAAUUGACGGGGCCCGCACAAGCGGUGGAGCAUGUGGUUUAAUUCGAUGCAACGCGAAGAACCUUACCUACUCUUGACAUCCUUGGAAUCCUCUGGAGACAGAGGAGCGCCUUCGGGAGCCGAGUGACAGGUGCUGCAUGGCUGUCGUCAGCUCGUGUCGUGAGAUGUUGGGUUAAGUCCCGUAACGAGCGCAACCCUUGCCCUUAGUUGCCAGCACAUUAUGGUGGGAACUCUAAGGGGACUGCCGGUGAUAAACCGGAGGAAGGUGGGGACGAUGUCAAGUCAUCAUGGCCCUUACGAGUAGGGCUACACACGUGCUACAAUGGGCAGUACAAAGGGUGGCCAAGCCGCGAGGCGGAGCUAAUCCCAGAAAGCUGUUCGUAGUCCGGAUUGGAGUCUACAA
rnacentral:rRNA from 1 species